rnacentral:rRNA from 1 species
GUGAACUAGCUAACUGAAAUCACAAAAUCACAAAAAGUGCUUAUUGUGAUAAUGUAAGGGAAAAAAUUGAUAUCACCUUACUAUAAGUGUUGUCUAAAUAACUGGUGCCAGAAGACUCGGUAACACCAGAAACGCGAACGUUAGUCGUCUUAAACAGGCGUAAAGGGUAAGUAGGCUGCUUUAAACAUCUAUUAAAAAAAAAAGCUAAUUAAUAAAUUAACCUAAAUUUUUUCAGACCUGAAAUUAUAAUUUAAGGCUAACUAAUAAUGAAAAAGGGUAAUUAUUAAAAAAAGAUAGAUACACUUAAAGCUAGAAUCAUAAUUGAGAUAAACCAAAUAAUACUUAUGUGUAAGGGCGAUAUCUGAAAAUACUAAGUAGAAUACUAACGGUGAAAACUUUUUAUCUAGGAAUGAUUGACGCUGAGGUACGAAAGUGAGAACAGGGAAUAGGAUGUGCGACUUGAAAGCUUAAAUAAUAUAUAGUAUUCUAAGAAUACAUUAUCAUUCGUCUGAUAAUAGCCGACCUAAACAUGCAUAACUAGUAAUGGUUUUGUGUGAAGCUUUAGGAAAAAGUUAUUUAAUUCA